AUGAGGAAGAGGCAGUGCUCCUGGAAGUUCAGGAUGCUGAGUCCCAGAGCACGUUUGCCUGCCUGCCUCUGCGGAGUCUCCGCUGGGCUGUGGGUCCCCUCGGGACAUGAUGUGGCCACCAGAAGGACUGGGCAGCUCCAUGGGGCCCCCUGGUGGCCUGAGGAGUUGCUGCAGCCGCACGGGCUUGGGCGAGACCCGGAAGGGCAAGAAAGCAGCCUUUGGGCCCGGGAGCAACGGCUGAAAGUACCCAAGAAGCCACUGUUUGGGGAGGAAAGUCCGGAGGUUUCCUUAGCCACAGGCCUGGCUUCCGCCGCUGUUUCCCUCACGUGGAGCUCGAGGGCACAUCGGCUCAAAGGACCAGCUUUGUUCCUGCUGCCCAGGCAGUGUCCCCAAUCCCCUGAAUAUCCCUGGCCCCAGACGGCAUUGGUGAAAGUUCAGGCCAUCUAGUCUGAGGCCACCGGCUCAGCCCUCAGGGGCUGUGACAUUCACUAGUGUUCUUAGCUUGUCCCCUUAGGUAAGACAGGCAGGUUAGAGGUUAGGUUAGAGAGGGCUGGAGUAGGGGAGACGCCUUGCGAGGGGUGUUGGGAGGCGAUGUGGAUGGGGCUCUGGGAAAGCCUCUCUCUCUUUUUGACAUGCCUAUGCUGAUUAGUAUUCUUUUUUUUUUAAGUUAUUUAUUUAUUUGGGCGCGUCAGGCCUUAGCUGCGGCCCCUGGGACCUCCGUUGUGUCCUGCGGGUUCCUUCACUGUGGCACGCAGCCUUUCUAGCUGAGUUGUGUGGACUCCAAGGCACGUGGAUCUUAGUUUCCUGACCAGGGAUCGAACCCACAGCCCCUACAUUGUAAGGUGGAUUCUUAACCACUGCACCACCAGGGACGUGCCUCUGGUAGGGUUCUUAAUCCUGGAGAGUGGGUUUUGUUACUGAGACGGUUGUGAGAGUAUUUCGCGAUGGGUAGGGAGGGGACCACAGGCUCUCCCUUCCCCCUGCAAGAGCUGUGGGAGUCUUUGGUGAGGUUCCCUGGUGAUAAAGUCCCUCUUCCUUUAGACUGUGACCACCGGGCCCCACAGGAGUUCCUCAGCCUCAUGCUACUUGGCACUACUGCUGCUGCUGCUGCUAAGUCGCUUCAGUCGUGUCCGACUCUGUGCGACCCCAUAGACGGCAGCCCACCAGGCUCCCCCGUCCCCAGGAUUCUCCAGGCAAGAACACUGGAGUGGGUUGCCAUUUCCUUCUCCAAUGCAUGAAAGUGAAAGGUGAAAGUGAAGUCGCUCAGUCGUGUCUGACUCUUAGCGACCCCAUGGACUAAGCCUCCUGCAGUUCAUCAACAUGACCUCUGAAGCCAUCCGACAGGUUCUGGAUCCAGUACCUUCUGCCCCAAGUGAUCCGAUCACCCCUGGGACUCUGGACUCUCUUGUCUCUUCAAAUUUAGAAGUGGCGGUUGACCCUCAAACCUCAGUUCUCAGAUGGGUCCAGGAAAAGUCACCGAUCCAAUUUUCAGUCUGUUCAUCCUUUUCCUUUCUUUCUUUUUUUAAAAAGAUUUAUUUAUUUAUGGCUAUUCUGGGCCAUUGUUGCUGCCUGCGGGCUUUCUCCAAGUGCAUCGACUGGGGCUACUCUUGCUGCCAUUGCUGUGCAGGCUUCUCAUUGCAGUGGCUUCUCUUGUUACCCAGCACCGUCUAUAGAGCACAGGCUCAGGAGUCAUGGUGCCCGGGUUCGGGUGCUCCGUGGCAUGUGGGAUCUUCCUGGGCCAGGGAUCGAACCCUUGUGCCCUGAAUUGGCAGUUGGAUUCUUAACCACUAGACCGGCGGAGAAGCCCAGCCCUUUGUCUUACUGGUGAGACAGGAGUGAGAACUUGCAAGCUCUGGCGCGCGGAGAGGAACCGCAGACCCUGGCUCCCCAACGCCCGCCUGCUGUGUGCUGCGGCCCGUGUUUCCUCGUCUGCACAGCGGACCUCAGCACAAACACUGUGUCCACACUGCCGCUACCUGGAAAGAGUGCUGGGGACCCUGGCAAGCGUGCCCCCAUGAUAGGGGCAGCAGUCAGAGGAGUCCCGGCCCCCAGGCCCCCCUCCUCGGGACCCCAGACAGCAGGCCUUCUCCGAGGUCAGACAGCCCAGCAUGCCCCGAAAACAGCCAGGUGGGGACAGGGGCCUUGAGCCAAGUGCCCUGUAGCUGCUUAAUGAACAUUUUUCAAAUGAACUAACAAACACAUCUCUAAAAGUUGUUCCACCCACGUGGGGAUGGGGGCUCAGCAGGACGCCAUGGCCUCAGACUCUGCCUGAGUGGCUGGCGGUGUCCAGACGUGUAUGUUAGGGGGGAAGGUGUCUGCCUGGCCAUCUCCAGAAACUCCUGUGGCAAUGACAUUGGGCCCUGGUGAGGCUGUCCCCGCAGCUCAAGGCUAUGGCCCAGGCUCCGUGUCCCCCCACCCCCGCACUCCCAGCCCCUCACACACAUUCCAGGAGCCUGUGUUGAUGUGCUGUUAUUAUGAUCUGAAUGUUUUCAUCCCUGCAGGACUCCCCUGGGGACUCAGUGGUAAAGAAUCCGCCUGCCAAUGCAGGAGACGUGGUUUCAAUCCCUGAUCUGGGAAAAUCCCACAUACCGCUGGGCAGCUAAGCCUGUGCGUCACAACUCCUGAGCCAGUGCUCGAGAGCCCGGGAGCCACAGCUACUGAAGCCUGAGUGCCCAGAGCCAGUGCCCCACCACCAGAGAAGCCAGCGCAAUGAGAAGCCCACACACCCCAACUAGAGUGUAGCCCCUGCUCAUGCAACUAGAGAAAAGCCCCUGAGGCAACGAAGACCCAGGAGAGCCAAAAAUAUAUAAAGUAAUUAAAUAAUACAUUAAAAAAAAUCUUAUUUGAAUGUUCAUGCUCCUCCAAACAUAAAUCCUAAUCCCUAAGACAAUGGUAUUAGGAGGUGAUGCCUUUGGGAGGUCAUUAAGUCAUGUGAGUGGAGCCCCCAUGAGCCGGAUUAGUGCCCUUGGAAAAAGACACAAGCUUCCUCUCUCUCUCUCUCUCUGCCACAUGAAGACACAACAAGAAAAUAGAUGCCUGCAAUGCAGAAGAGAGCCAGCACCAGAACCCAAUUGUGCUGUCAGCCUAAUCUUGAACUUCCAGCCUCUGGAACUGUGAGAAAUAAAUCUCUGCUGCUUACAAGCCA
ensembl:lncRNA